CCCAAACUAUUAACAGCCUAUGAUAUCCACGUUCUUCACCUUCUUCCUUUUGCGACUGCGUCUUCACCACCGACGAGAUGAUUCAGAAACCAAAUACACCCUCUCCUACCCGUAACGUUUCACAAGUCCUUUAAUCCGCCAUUUAUUUUUAUUUUUCCCUUGAUUAAUCAAAUCCUUCCUCAUUAAGAUUUCCGAGCACCUGUUCGUUUACCUUGAAACGGUGUAGAUCUCCAACUAUAAAUAUCUCACCUUCAUACCAUGCAAACUCCAACUCAAACCAAAUCCGAAAAUUUUCAACUUGCAAUCUUCCAAUUUCAAUGUCUAAUUCAUAUGUUAUUCUUGCUGACUUGAGAGCCGGGAGAUGCUCCAACGCGGCGGAGGUCCGUCUUUUGAUAUUCUGGGAGGCGAAGAACAUCAACAAAAGGGGACAACUGAUGAGCCUUGAGAUGUUAUUGAUCGAUGAACAAUCUACUUUGGUCCAAGGGUCUGUUCCUGCGUCUCUACGGGUAUCGGGUCGUUUUUUCUGUGUCAGACAUCACUGGCAUAGCUGGUUUUGUUGGCUUCGAUAAAGAGAUUGCUAAGGUGACUCAUGUUUUGGCAUCAGAAGCUGCACAAAUUGUGGGAAGGUGGACACUGACCUCCCUUGAUCACUCUCUGAUGUGGUAGGGAACACCUACACUUUUCAGCUCAAGCUAAAAGACUUCAAUUUCACUGCAAACCACCAAACCUUUACCAUUUCCCGCAUCUUUCCUGCACGAGAACUUUGCACCCAUCCCAACCUUCGCCGAAGGUGCAGCGGACCCUGAAGCAGCGGUACAUCAGACUGUUGUUCCAGGAUCUGAUUCUAUAGAUGCAAGGUCAAGCAAUGUCGCAGAGCAAGCAACCACCUCUGAUGGUCGUCUUGCGGGGCUUCAAGCAGCCGCUGAAGGACUUGAUCAGGAGAGUGCACCGAAGAAAGCAUGUGUGGAAUGAGUCCUCUUUAUAACCCAAACAACCACGUUAUCUCUACCAGUUUGUUGUUCCGUUUUGAGCUGCGCUUCUUAGUUUAAGUAUUGUUCAGUAUUUCUGCUUUUUUUCUUUUUAAACUCAGACAAGUGGUUGUUCGUUUUUUAAGUUUAAUGAACUCUUCUCGCAUAAACCA